CGGGACGGGUGAGUAACGCGUGGGCAACCUGCCCUGUACAGGGGGAUAACACUUAGAAAUAGGUGCUAAUACCGCAUGAGCGCACAAAGGCGCAUGCCUAUGUGCGGGAAGCCCGCGAGGGCGGUACGGGAUGGGCCCGCGUCUGAUUAGCCAGUUGGCAGGGUAACGGCCUACCAAAGCGACGAUCAGUAGCCGGCCUGAGAGGGUGGACGGCCACAUUGGGACUGAGACACGGCCCAAACUCCUACGGGAGGCAGCAG
rnacentral:rRNA from 1 species